rnacentral:rRNA from 1 species
AUUGAACGCUGGCGGCAGGCUUAACACAUGCAAGUCGAGCGGGGGAGGUUACUUCGGUAACUGACCUAGCGGCGGACGGGUGAGUAAUGCUUAGGAAUCUGCCUAUUAGUGGGGGACAACAUUUCGAAAGGAAUGCUAAUACCGCAUACGCCCUACGGGGGAAAGCAGGGGAUCUUCGGACCUUGCGCUAAUAGAUGAGCCUAAGUCGGAUUAGCUAGUUGGUGGGGUAAAGGCCUACCAAGGCGACGAUCUGUAGCGGGUCUGAGAGGAUGAUCCGCCACACUGGGACUGAGACACGGCCCAGACUCCUACGGGAGGCAGCAGUGGGGAAUAUUGGACAAUGGGCGGAAGCCUGAUCCAGCCAUGCCGCGUGUGUGAAGAAGGCCUUUUGGUUGUAAAGCACUUUAAGCGAGGAGGAGGCUCCUUUAGUUAAUACCUAAAGUGAGUGGACGUUACUCGCAGAAUAAGCACCGGCUAACUCUGUGCCAGCCGCCGCCGUAAAAC